UACAGAGGUCUCAAGCGUUGUUCGGAUUCAUUGGGCGUAAAGGGUGCGAUAGGCGGCUUUGCAAGUCAGAGGUGAAAUGCCAAGGCUUAACCUUGGAACUGCCUUUGAAACUUGCAUAGCUAGAGUCUCGGAGAGGAUAGCGGAAUUUCUAAUGUAGCGGUGAAAUGCGUAGAUAUUAGAAGGAACACCGGUGGCGAAGGCGGCUAUCGUGGACGAGCACUGACGCUGAGGCGCGAAAGCGUGGGAUCAA
rnacentral:rRNA from 1 species